UACGUAGGGUGCAAGCGUUGUCCGGAAUUAUUGGGCGUAAAGAGCUCGUAGGCGGUCUGUUGCGUCGGCUGUGAAAACCCGGGGCUCAACCCCGGACUUGCAGUGGGUACGGGCAGACUAGAGUGUGGUAGGGGAGACUGGAAUUCCUGGUGUAGCGGUGAAAUGCGCAGAUAUCAGGAGGAACACCGAUGGCGAAGGCAGGUCUCUGGGCCACUACUGACGCUGAGAAGCGAAAGCAUGGGGAGCGAACAGG
rnacentral:rRNA from 1 species